rnacentral:rRNA from 1 species
AGUGAACGCUGGCGGCGUGCCUAAUACAUGCAAGUCGAGCGGACGCACGGUAAGCUUUCUCCUCUGCGGUUAGCGGCUGACGGGUGAGUGACACGUGGAUAGCCUACCUCUAAUACGUGGGUGACUUCGGAGAACCGGAUCCGCUACCAGAUAAUAUGUUGAACCGCAUGGUUCAAUGGUGCAUGACAGUUUUGCUGUCACUUAUAGCUGGAUCCGCGCCGCAUUAGCUAGUUGGUAAGGUAACGGCCUACCAAGGCAACGAUGCGUAGCCGACCUGAGAGGGUGAUCGGCCACACUGGAACUGAGACACGGUCCAGACUCCUACGGGAGGCAGCAGUAGGGAAUCUUCCGCAAUGGGCGAAAGCCUGACGCAGCAAUGCCGCGUGAGUGAUGAAGGUCUUCGGAUCGUAAAACUCUGUUAUUAGGGAAGAAAAGCUGCGGAAGUAAAUCUGCAUGUCUUGACGGUACCCAAUCAGAAAGCAACGGCUAACUUCGUG